rnacentral:rRNA from 1 species
GGCUACGAGGACGAACGCUGGCGGCGUGCCUAACACAUGCAAGUCGAACGGGGUUAAGAGAGCUUGCUUUCUUAACUUAGUGGCGAACGGGUGAGUAACGCGUGAGAAACCUGCCUUUCAGUGGGGGACAACAGUUGGAAACGACUGCUAAUACCGCAUAACAUACCGAGUGGGCAUCCACAUGGUAUCAAAGGAGCAAUCCGCUGUAAGAUGGGCUCGCGUCCGAUUAGAUAGUUGGUGAGGUAACGGCUCACCAAGUCGACGAUCGGUAGCCGGACUGAGAGGUUGAUCGGCCACAUUGGGACUGAGACACGGCCCAGACUCCUACGGGAGGCAGCAGUGGGGGAUAUUGCACAAUGGGGGAAACCCUGAUGCAGCGACGCCGCGUGAGUGAAGAAGUAUUUCGGUAUGUAAAGCUCUAUCAGCAGGGAAGAAAAUGACGGUACCUGACUAAGAAGCCCCGGCUAACUACGUG